UUUUCCUACGGGGGGCAGCAGUGAGGAAUAUUGGUCAAUGGGCGGGAGCCUGAACCAGCCAAGUCGCGUGAGGGAAGAAGGUACUGAGUAUUGUAAACCUCUUUUGCCAGGGGACAAAGGCGGCCACGGGUGGCCGUAAGAGGGUACCUGGAGAAAAAGCAUCGGCUAACUCCGUGCCAGCAGCCGCGGUAAUACGGAGGAUGCGAGCGUUAUCCGGAUUUAUUGGGUUUAAAGGGUGCGUAGGUGGUUUUUUAAGUUAGUGGUUAAACGUCGGGGCUUCACCUUGAUUUGCCAUUAAUACUGUA
rnacentral:rRNA from 1 species